ensembl:lncRNA
GUUCCGCCGUCCCUGCGGUAUUUCACCGCUCGUUGCCGUUGUGCUUUUUUUUGUGGGCCACGGACGACCAUAAAGAGAUCCCCGCAUCGCUCGUAUGCGUAGAUACGCCAUACGUUCAUAGUCACAUAACGUAGGAAGCGCAGUGUCAGAAAACGCCUCCGGUCAUCUGGCUGCCUCGAGGUCCACGAUCACCACAUCUAGAGAAAGAAACAAUUGGAAAAGACAAAAGUUCCCUUUCAGCGCUGCCGCCCAGCCCGCGCUGCGGGGUCCGCCCGGUGCGGUGAGCAGGUGCUGCCGUCGCUGCCGUGCGCUCAGGGCUGCAGGCAGUGCCCGCGGGCCCGCUUUGUCACGGAGCUCUGCGGAAUGCUGCUCGGAAGUGAAGUCCUGGGAAGGCAUGAAAACCGGUUUGUAAUCGCCUCAGCGUGUGGGGAUGACAGCAGCAUGGAAUCAUUAAGGUUGGAAAGACCACUACAGUCAUCUAGUCCAACCGUCAGCCCAUCCCCACCAUCCCGAUAACCCAUGUCCCUCAGUGCCACAUCUCCACGUUUCUUGAGCACCUGCAGGGGCAGUGACUCCGUCACCUCCCUGGGCAGCCUGUGCCAGCGCCUCACCACUCCUGCUGAGAAGAAAUUGUUCCUAAUAUCCAACCUGAACCUCCCCUGGUGCAAUUUGUGGCUAUUUUCUCUCACCCUAUCACUGUUACCUGGGAGCAGAGACCAACUCCCACCUCGUCGCAACCUCCUUUCUGGCAGUGUAGAGAACAAUAAGGUCUUUCCUGAGCCUCCUCCAGGCCAUCGCAGUUCCCUCAGCCGCUCCCCAUCAGACGUGUGUUCCAUAUUCUUCACAGCUUUGUUGCACUUCUCUGGACACGCUCCAUGGCCUCGACGUCCUUCUUGUAGUGAGGGGCUCACAGCUGAGCACAGAAAUUUCUGUCAGCCCUGGGUUUGUGCACAAAAUGAAUCAAUGGCCCAAAGGUCCAAGCUCAGGACCACUCUGCUGUUUGGAAAUUGCUUUUACUGGACACUCGCCAUUAUUUCAGCUACCCUGAAAUGUACUUCAAAGAGACUUGGUGAGAAAAAUAGUCAAAAAUCAAGUUUGUCUCAGCAAGGAGAUACUGAAUGUAUCUUGAUGAUGAUGUGGCUUCAGCAAGUAACAAGAAGAAAAUGUAGCAAUCUCUGUGGUGCUUUUUUUCAUUCAAGCUAUGACCUCAAAGCCAUUUUUAAUUGGAUGCAUUUCCAAAUGAAGCCACUGCUCCCUGUAGGAGCAUUUUUCCAGUUGCACCUGGUUCACAAAUUGGACAUUAUGAACUUGGCAAACCAGUACAGUGAGCGAUCUGUGUUUAGGGGUGAUACCUCUGCUCUACAGCAGGUGAAAGACACCUCUACCAACAGAGUAUAGGACACUGUUCAGCAGUGUCUUGUGGCUUGCUUUCUCUCUGUGGGAAAAGCCAGUAUGGAGCACUGAUGAACAAAAUGAAGUUCACAGCUAUUUAGCACUGCCCAGCAUGAGAGAUAUCUCCAUAACCACACUAAGUCCUGAAGACAGGCCAUGAGCACACACUACACUGCAGAAGGCUGCUCCUCCAACAGGCACUGGGAAUGCUGCAGCUUCCUUCUGGUGGCCAGGAGCCCUGGUUUCAGCCAAAGCACAGUGCCAACAUCACAUCAAUGCUGUGGUUGCUGCUGAGCAAUGGGAGCUUCCUGGGGCCCUUUAUGCGUGUCAGCAGGAGGUGGACAGAGCCCAGACAGCUCUACUCAACUCAAAACUGGGCCUUCCAGGAAGUAAUAGCUUCGUGUCUUAUUGUGAACACUACUUACAGUGGUCUCUUCAGUGAAUGAACAGUGAAUGAACAGUGAAUGUAGGUAUGCUUUGAAAUCCAUUGGUUUGUAGUCCUUGGUAUUCAGAAACUGCUGGAUACCCUCUCUUAGAAAAUCGGUCCACUUUAUGUGCCUCAGUUUGGACACUGACAGGCAAUCACUUGUCAUUUCACCAAAAAAAAAAAAAGAGUCAAAUCUUUAAAGUCAGUAUAGUGAGUGCUGAAUUUGCCAUUAAAAGCAAACUUUCCUCUCAUUUUGAUGUAAUGAGAUAAAAUGACAGCAUAGCUGUAGUAGACAGGCUAUUUUAGGGAUCUUAUGCUCAUACAGUGUCCUGUUCACGAAAAAUGGCAUUCUACACUGUCAACACAACCUGUUAAAUGGCUAACAAACAUCUCUCAAACUACUUGACAACAGCAAGUCAUCAUCAAAUGGAGGUGUUGUUCCCCAGGGACUGACAGUAGGCUGUUUCUGUUCAACAUCUCCCACAGUCUUGUAGAAGUAAAUAUAAAUGUUGCUGAUGCAAUAUCCAGGUGUCAUAGAACUCAGUUAGAAUGGUGGUAUCAGUGAGCUCUGCUAAGCACAAAGCGGCCUGGAUAACUUGUCCAUUUAAAUGAAAUCUUUCUUCACACACCUACAUUUUAAGUGAUUGACUUCAGAACAAAGAGCGCAAGAUGUUUCUACAGAGUGGGAGGAUUUUAUCUUGGAAAGCAGUGCUUCUGAGAGAGUUGAGGGAUCAAAAUGGAGAAACAGCUCAACUUCUCAACUUGAACUCCCAAUAUAAAUCUGUAGCAAAAUGGGCUAAUGAGAUUCUUGGGUGUUUCAGGAGGCAAAAAGUAAAUGGGAAAGGGGGAUUUGCACUUUGUGUGGCACUUCUGAGACCAGGACCAGUGUACAGCCUCUAAUUUUGGUGUUCGUGUGUUUAAAAGAAUAUUGAAAAAUAAGAACUGUGCAGGAAAGAUACAGGAAUACCCAUAAGCUGAAGAAAAUGCCUUACGGUGAAACGACUGGGAAAGCUCAGCAUUUUUAUCAAAAGGAAGAUUGAAAUUUGACCAAAUUAUAAAUGCUUCCAGAAGGGAAAAACACAAGGUAAAGAAGAUUUUUCAAAGUAACCAAGGAAUACAACAAGAAAACAGUGGCUGGAAAUUGAAGUAUAGCCUUCCAACCAUGGUCAAUGAUUAAUAUAUAUUUAACAGCAAAGAUUAAACAGUUGUAAUCCAA